rnacentral:tRNA from 1 species
GCGGAUGUGGUGGAACUGGCAUACGCGCCAGCCUUAGGAGCUGGUGGGGAAACCCUUGGGGGUUCAAAUCCCUCCAUCCGCACCA